CCAGUUUUGACCUCUGUUAUUCCCAGUUUAGCUUAGAAAGUAAGUUUUAUCACUAAAUUUUUUAUAUAUACGCAUGCGUAUGCAUACAUACAGUACUUAUAUAUCAUUAUUUUUGGUAUGUGAAUGUGUUAAUUCAGGUUUGGAUUGGGAGGAGAAGCUGAUUGCGUUAGGAUCGAGAAACUUCUUUCUCUGCCCUAGAAAGGCUGAGGCCACAGAAAGUGGUGGCGGAACGCCGCAGCCGUCGUGUUAUAAGCAGGCGGAGAAAGGGACGAAGAUGGCCUGGCUAAAGUAGAUUGAUUUUUUGUUCUGAACCAAUAGUUUACUCGAUCUAUUUAAUUUAUCAAUUUAGCCUCUAGUUUUGCUCCUUGCAAUUUCACUCUUUGUAAAAUUAAUGUUUGUUUUAUGUUAAUUUAUCAAUAGUUGAUGGAUUAAUGUUUGUUUUAUGUUAAUUUGUUGUUUGACCAUUUUGC
rnacentral:lncRNA from 1 species